rnacentral:rRNA from 1 species
AUUGAACGCUGGCGGCAUGCCUAACACAUGCAAGUCGAACGGUAACGCGGGGGCAACCCUGGCGACGAGUGGCGGACGGGUGAGUAAUACAUCGGAACGUGCCCAGUAGUGGGGGAUAGCCCGGCGAAAGCCGGAUUAAUACCGCAUACGACCUACGGGUGAAAGCGGGGGAUCGCAAGACCUCGCGCUAUUGGAGCGGCCGAUGUCAGAUUAGCUAGUUGGUGGGGUAAAAGCCUACCAAGGCGACGAUCUGUAGCUGGUCUGAGAGGACGACCAGCCACACUGGGACUGAGACACGGCCCAGACUCCUACGGAGGCAGCAGUGGGGAAUUUUUGGACAAUGGGGGCAACCCUGAUCCAGCCAAUGCCGCGUGCGGGAAGAA